UACGUAGGGUGCAAGCGUUGUCCGGAAUUAUUGGGCGUAAAGAGCUCGUAGGCGGUUUGUCGCGUCUGCUGUGAAAACUCGGGGCUUAACUCCGGGCCUGCAGUGGGUACGGGCAGACUAGAGUGCGGUAGGGGAGACUGGAAUUCCUGGUGUAGCGGUGAAAUGCGCGGAUAUCAGGAGGAACACCGGUGGCGAAGGCGGGUCUCUGGGCAGUAACUGACGCUGAGGAGCGAAAGCGUGGGGAGCGAACAGG
rnacentral:rRNA from 1 species